rfam:Brachypodium distachyon strain Bd21 chromosome 5, whole genome shotgun sequence.
CUUAUACUUCCUCCGUCCAACAAAGGAUGUCUUAACUUUAACUAAAUUUGAAUGCAUCUAUACACUAAGUCAUGUCUAGAUACAUCCAAAUUUUAACAAACUUGAGACAUCUUUUGUUGGACAGAAGAGGGAGUAUAUG